UACAGAGGGUGCAAGCGUUAAUCGGAUUUACUGGGCGUAAAGCGUGCGUAGGCGGUUCGUUAAGUCGGUUGUGAAAUCCCUGGGCUUAACCUGGGAACUGCAGUCGAUACUGAUGGACUAGAGUGCGGUAGAGGGUGGCGGAACUCCGGGUGUAGCGGUGAAAUGCGUAGAUAUCCGGAAGAACACCGAUGGCGAAGGCAACCACCUGGGCCUGCACUGACGCUGAGGUACGAAAGCGUGGGGAGCAAACAGG
rnacentral:rRNA from 1 species